AGCUAUUCAAGGCCCAAGCCUCGCCCCACUCCUUCCUAUCGUCCAUCUGAGGAAAGUCAUACUUAUGAGCAGCCUCAAGCUGAUUAUGGGUUUCAGCCUGGGGUGAAUCGCCCUGGCGGAGAAAGUGAGUAUGGACGGAAGAGUGAGUAUGAAGAAGAGCCCACACCAGAAUAUGGAUCUGGAUAUGGGAGAAAGAGUGAGUAUGAAGAGCCUAAACCCCAGUAUGGAUCUGGGUAUGGAAGGAAGAGUGAGUACGAAGAGCCAAGUUCCGAGUAUGGAUCUGGGUAUGGGAGGAAGAGUGAGUAUGAAGAACCCACUCCUCAAUAUGGAUCUGGGUAUGGCCGGAAGAGUGAGUAUCAAGAGCCAAGUUCUGAGUAUGGGAGGAAGACUGAAUAUGAAGAACCCACUGCCCAGUAUGGAAGGAAAAGCGAGUAUGAAGAACCCGCUUCCGAAUAUGGAUCAGGGUACCGGAAGAAGAGUGAAUACGAGGAGCCAAGCUCGGAAUACGGGUCGGGUUAUGGGCGUAAGAACGAAUCCGAAGAAUACGGAUCUGGUGGAUAUGGCAGGAAGCCGAGCUAUGGACAAGAGGAAGGUGAGAGGCCCAGUUAUGGGCGUCCAAGCUACCAGGCUGAGGAGGGCGAAGGGUACGAGAGGCCUCACUAUGGAAGGUCCGAGGAGGAGGACUACAAGAAGCCCAGCUACGAGAGGCGUGGUGAU
rnacentral:lncRNA from 1 species